rnacentral:rRNA from 1 species
AUUGAACGCUGGCGGCAGGCCUAACACAUGCAAGUCGAGCGGUAACACAGAGGAGCUUGCUCCUUGGGUGACGAGCGGCGGACGGGUGAGUAAUGCCUGGGGAUCUGCCCGAUAGAGGGGGAUAACUACGGGAAACUGUAGCUAAUACCGCAUAACGUCUACGGACCAAAGUGGGGGCUCUUCGGACCUCAUGCUAUCGGAUGAACCCAGGUGGGAUUAGCUAGUUGGUGAGGUAAUGGCUCACCAAGGCGAAGAUCUCUAACUGGGUUGAGAGAAUGACCAGUCACACUGGAACUGAGACACGGUCCAGACUCCUACGGGAGGCAGCAGUGGGGAAUAUUGCACAAUGGGCGCAUGCCUGAUGCAGCCAUGCCGCGUGUGUGAAGAAGGCCUUCGGGUUGUAAAGCACUUUCAGCGGGGAGGAAGGGUCACUAGUUAAUACCUAGUGGCAUUGACGUUACUCGCAGAAGAAGCACCGGCUAACUCCGUGCCAGCCGCCGCCGUAA